rnacentral:rRNA from 1 species
UACGAGAGGCCCAAACGUUAUUCGGAUUUACUGGGCUUAAAGAGUUCGUAGGCGGCGCAGAAAGUAGGGUGUGAAAGCCCUCGGCUCAACCGAGGAAUUGCGCCCUAAACUACUGUGCUUGAGGGACCUAGAGGUGAGCAGAACUGAUGGUGGAGCGGUGAAAUGCGUUGAUAUCAUCAGGAAUACCGGAGGCGAAGGCGGCUCACUGGGGGUCUUCUGACGCUGAGGAGCGAAAGCCAGGGGAGCGAACGGG